rnacentral:tRNA from 1 species
UGGCUCAGCUGGUAAGAGUGACUGCCUUGCAUGCACAAGACCCUGGGUUCAAACCCCAG